AUAUGUCAGCAAGCCCUAAAUCUGUGAUCUUCUGGAAUGAAUUCUUCUACAUCAUCUAAAUCUUUGUUAAUAUUUGCAAAACAGUAUUUAAAAAUAGUUUGUUUAUAUUUUUUGAUUUACUUCCUUGAUUUUUUUCCCCCCCCUGGGUUGUUUUUGCCUAAAAAAAAAAAAAAGGAUCUUUGUUUCAUACAUAUACUGUUUGCUCCUACUAUGCAUUUGCCACAGUUAACUGUGGUGUCACAAAUAAGAUAACUUCAGGUGAAGAACAAACAUCAGGAGCAGAUGGGUAAACAAAGAACUACAUGGACAGAAUAUCUGUGGUACACUGGAAAGGGAUGGACAUGCUGCUUGCAUUCUGUCUAGUCUUGUUUUACUGUUCUGCAGAUGGUUGGAUAACAAUAAUUCAUUCACAAGCACAUGAAACACAUCCUCUGGCAGUGAUUCUAGGGGACACAGCCAAGCCCUAUUUCUGCUAACUGACAUGUUUGAUUCUGCCUCCAAAAUUUUGCAGAGGAAACCCACUGGGAAAAGAAAAAUCAGGUAAGCAAAUUCAUCUUUUUUGCACUAGAGAUAGACUGGUGUCUUGGUGAUUCUUGUUUAUUUCCUAGGGAUGGAGGAGAAAGGACUACUUCAGUGGGGGAAUAUCAGAGAUGGCUUGUCUCAUGAUGUUUACAGGCCCUUUUAGAUGUCAUUAUAAGUGCUCUUGCUCUCAGCUGACAGAACUGAAAGCCUGUCAAGGAAGGAGAAAUGGCUUCUGAUGUUCCCGGAUAGCUAUUUUAUUAGCUUCUAGCUUCAUAGCAUACAGUAGGAUGACAUAGCUGAAGAAAAUUAGUACACCUGAGACUUUGUCAGCCUUGUAUUCGUUGAGAAUGAAAAGUAGUUUGAUCAGUUUGUGUAAAAACAUAUCCAUCCUUCUUUCCUCUCAAAAGAUUGGAGCUCUCCCUCAGGAAAGAAAUGAAAACUGCUUCUGCUCUUUUAGCAAUUGCUUCUGAUUUUCCCUGCUUCAGAGGAAAGUGCAGCUGUAUCAUUGUAUCUUCUACUUGAUAGAUCACUUGAAGUUUAGAAACUGAGAGAAAUGUUCCACUUAUUUAAAACCUAAAAUGGGCAUUUUUAGGGGAGUUGACAGGCUGACCUUGGUUCUGCUAGUGCUUGUAUCCAGCGUAGCUGAAUGGCUUGGGACUUGCUAAUCAGCUACCACAGUGUUAAGCCAUAUACGUGAAGAACAGCAUGAUCUAGUGGAUUGAACUCAAGCCUAAGAGUGAAGAGCUGCCUAGUGCUAAUCCUACUGCUGCUACUAACCUGCUGCAUGGCUGUGGCAAGUUUACUUUCACUCUCUCACUUUCCACAUCUGCUUAUCUCACAGGUAUGCACUGUAUAAAUGCCAAGUAUUCUCAAAGCCAUAAUACAACAGGGGAAGCAGAUAUACAGGUCAUUUGUUCUAUUCAGCCACUAGACAGUGCUUGACCUUUUAGCCUUGUGUUGUGGCACACUAGAGAUGUUCAGCUAUCGGCUGUAACACUUCAGUCUUGAAAUUACUCGUGUCUACAAGGCUACACAUGGAGUGACUGCAAAUUUUUAUUUCACAACCAGAAUACCAUGCCCUGGUAAAAUGGUUAUAAACAAGUGUAUAACUUGCUCAUAAUUAUCUUUCUCGGUCUUCUUAAACAUUUAGUUUCUAGGAAGGAAUUGUUGCUAUGAAUCUAACAAGGAAUUUGCUCUCCAGAUACAAAUAUUUGUAUAAAAAUGCUGAAACUGCAAAGCAAUAAAUAUCUGUGUAACACUG